rnacentral:rRNA from 1 species
UGGGGAAUUUUGGACAAUGGGGGCAACCCUGAUCCAGCAAUGCCGCGUGUGUGAAGAAGGCCUUCGGGUUGUAAAGCACUUUUGUCCGGAAAGAAAACUUCGGGGCUAAUACCCCUGGAGGAUGACGGUACCGGAAGAAUAAGCACCGGCUAACUACGUGCCAGCAGCCGCGGUAAUACGUAGGGUGCGAGCGUUAAUCGGAAUUACUGGGCGUAAAGCGUGCGCAGGCGGUGCUGUAAGACCGAUGUGAAAUCCCCGGGCUUAACCUGGGAACUGCAUUGGUGACUGCAGCGCUGGAGUAUGGCAGAGGGGGGUGGAAUUCCACGUGUAGCAGUGAAAUGCGUAGAGAUGUGGAGGAACACCGAUGGCGAAGGCAGUCCCCUGGGCCAAUACUGACGCGCAUGCACGAAAGCGUGGGGAGCAAACAGG